CCUACGGGGGGCAGCAGUGGGGAAUAUUGGACAAUGGGCGAAAGCCUGAUCCAGCCAUGCCGCGUGUGUGAAGAAGGCCUUCGGGUUGUAAAGCACUUUCAGUGGGGAAGAAAGCCUUGGGGCUAAUACCCUCGAGGAAGGACAUCACCCACAGAAGAAGCACCGGCUAACUCCGUGCCAGCAGCCGCGGUAAUACGGAGGGUGCGAGCGUUAAUCGGAAUUACUGGGCGUAAAGCGCGCGUAGGCGGUCUGAUAAGCCGGUUGUGAAAGCCCCGGGCUCAACCUGGGAACGGCAUCCGGAACUGUCAGGUUAGAGUGCAGGAGAGGAAGGUAGAAUUCCCGGUGUAGCGGUGAAAUGCGUAGAGAUCGGGAGGAAUACCAGUGGCGAAGGCGGCCUUCUGGACUGACACUGACGCUGAGGUGCGAAAGCGUGGGUAGCAAACAGGAUUAGAUACCCCAGUAGUC
rnacentral:rRNA from 1 species